rnacentral:misc_RNA from 1 species
UGGAAGGAGCAGUAACGGUUGUUCCGCCCCCCCCCUCUCCUCCUCCCGCAACGCGCACCCCACCGGCGAAUACGUUGCAUCACUCCAGAUAAACAAGCAGCAGCCACGGAGGCGAUAUCGGCCCCCUCCGCUCCCCUUUCCAAAGCGGCGAUCGGUGCAGCCGCUGGGUCGGAUGUUCGCCUCGGCGCAUUCUAUCAGACCUGUUUGAGUUUGCGUAACGGAAGAGGCUGAGGUUUGUCAGCCGCUUCCCCCCCCCUCCCCCCCAAACCCCCAACCCUCUCUCGCCCUGCAGGAGUCACUUCCAGAGCGCACCCUCCCUACUCGCACAACCGAGCACAGCUACACAUCCCAUCUCCCGAGAUGGCGGCCAGCUACCACAGGGAGGACCGCGCGGAGACGGAGCUGGUGGACCAGCAGCCGAUUGAGCACUUCAACCCUGAUCUCAACAACGUGAGCCUAACCUCUUCGCAGGCUGACGCGAAGGCGCUGGAGGAGGCGGCCGGCGUGGACCUGCGCGCGGUGCCAGAGGAGCACUCGGGCAAGUGCGUGAUGAUCUCAUGGAUCCUCUUCUCGUCCGUGAGCUUCAUCUUCAUGCUGGCUGCGUCGCUCCCAGUGCCGUGGCUGAAAGACGGCCAGGGCCGAAAGUGGACGGUAUGGAAGGAUGUGAACGGGACGCCGUGGAGCAAGAUUGAGUGUGACCACAAACGCCAGUUGUUUCAGGCGAUGGAGGCGUUCACGAUCGUUGGAUGCCUGCUGAGUCUUGGUAGCCUCGUCGCCGGUGCCCUGCAGAUGAUGGGCCGCGGCCACCUUGGUGUGAUGAUGUUAUUCGGCUUCUUGACAGUGAUGGUUUCGCUGACGGACUGGGCGCUUAUUGUGAGCCAGUACCACAAGCACAACUGCGCCGGUGAUCAGGUAUACGCGGCUGGAAUCAACCGCCUUGACGCCGGCUUCGGCCUUGUCUUCAUCUCCUUCGCCCUGAUGCUUUUCGGCAUCAUCGCCCUGGCGCGUUGGAUGAGCGAAAGCCUCAGCCUGUCGGAGCUGCAUCGCACCAAGUACCACAGCUCCGCCCUCAUGAGCUCCUUCAUCAGCGGCUGCGUGCUGACGAUCGCGACUGUGGGAACGGCGCAGAACAUGUGGGAGCACUACGACAGGAAGACGUCGCUAAAGAUCACUUACUGGGGCGUCGAGAUCUACCACCGCAAUGAGGGCCUGUCGGAGAACUGGCCGCUGAGCUCCUACCACUGUCCACAGUUCACUCUGCAUAUGCGCGCUGGUGCCGUCUUUUCCAUCAUCAGCGACGCGUUCCUCUUUUUCACGUUCCUGUUCUCCGUUGCGGCCGUAUAUAGCCGCCCGUGCAAGUGGGUCACGGUGGGCUUCGGUGCGGUCUCCUGGAUCUUACUGCUGGUGUGCUCGGCGAUCACGAUCGCCGCUCGAUACAAGACGUUCUGCCCCUCGGGCGUGGUGCCGCCGAGCACUGCCAUCUACGGUGCCCCGCUCGACACCAUCGAGCAGCGGGUGAACUUCAAGGGCUUCGUCAUCACAGACGGCCUGGGUAUGAUCAUCUCUGCCUGGUGCAUCACAACGGCGAACCUCAUCUACCUCGUGAUCAAGGGGUAAGGCGGCGGUGAGGGCACAAGCAGGAGGUACAGCAACAACAAAAAGAAAAGGGCAAGGGGAAGGGCGAUGCAGCGUGCCGGUGCGCGCGCGGAGAAAUCCGUGAGUGGCUCCGCGGUGGAUGACGGCGUGAAUGGCGAUGAAGGCGCUGCACCGUUGACGCGCUUUGCCACAGACACGCACAUCUGUGCGGCUUUUCCUCGUGUGGCCUCUCCCCCCUCCCACUUCCACCCCCCCCCUCCCCCUCUUGCAUCAGCCCCGGCCCUGCGGGCCUCCUCUGCGCUCUGCUCCACAUGCAGGCAAACGGAGACGGAGAGGCGAAGGUGCAAAGAGCGAAAAAAAAAAAACGAUAACGAUUCAAGUGCAGGCGAAAACAUAUGCCAAGGCGUGUAGACGUCAUCAUACCCCACAUGCGUGCGUGCAGCCGGUUGGGUGCAUGCGCGUAAUCGGCGGCGCGCGCGUGUGUGUGCGUGUGUGGUCUUUUCUCUGGCGCUGAUGGGUUGUUAUAUUUUGUAUAUUUUGUAAGUUUUUUUUUUUACAGUGGCCGUUAUCUCUUCGCUGCUUGUAGCAUCUCUCGACUUCUCACCAGCUUCACAGAUGAGGCUCUUCCUCUUCCUCCUCCUCUUGUGUGCUGUGUAUCCUCGUUGCUGCAUGUCCUUCCCCUCUCCCCUCCCCUCCCCCCAUCUACCCAUCCCAACCCUUAUUUUUCGUUUGGAGAGUCUGUGUAUGCGGGCGUGUGCAAGAAGCUGGCUUAGCGUGCGCGUGUGCUUGUGGUACCCGCCUCUUGCUCGUGGCGGUGUCGCAACAGCAUGAGGAGGAGUGGCAGCGGAGCGGGGCCCUAGGCGCAGCCGCACACACGCGGGAGUCGCACCACGGCAUCCCUGAGUAGCGAGGGGGAGUGGAGGAGCAGGAACAAGCGAGCCGCGAGAAGGGAGGGAGGGAGAGCUCCCUACGUCAUGUUUGAAGACCGAACGAAAACACACGAAAGGGCCAGACAACGGACCAAACAAGCUCGCCAACAAGGGGAAGCAUCCGGCUGCUCGAGGAGCCAUCGACGGACGCCACAUGCGCCGCUUCUCUUCUUCUUCUUCCCUGUGUUGGCAUUAUUCAAAACCCUCACCCACCCACCCAACCAAAAAAGAAUACGACGACGACGCGCUGUGCUUUUCUUGUGCGGCACACGGCAGUCCACGUAAGAUGCGAUCUCACGCAGGGCAUGGCUCUGUGUGUUGUGUGCCGAGACACACAGCCGCGCAGGCACCUCCACGGACGCUCGCGCUUCAUCGUUCUCUGCGUGCUCGGCGUCAGUGAAAGAGAGGGCAAGCACCCGUGCGCGCGUGGUAGCAUGGCUUUUGUCGUGGUCUUCCUCUGUGUGUACAGCACACUGUCU